rnacentral:rRNA from 4 species
GGACCAAGGAGUCUAGCAUGUGCGCGAGUCAUUGGGACAAGCGAAACCUAAAGGCGUAAUGAAAGUGAAGGCUCGCCUCGCGCGUGCCGAGGGAGGAUGGGCGGCGUCACGAUGCCGCCUCGCACUCCCGGGGCGUCUCGUUCUCAUUGCGAGAAGAGGCGCACCCAGAGCGUACACGCUGGGACCCGAAAGAUGGUGAACUAUGCCUGGUCAGGACGAAGUCAGGGGAAACCCUGAUGGAGGUCCGUAGCGAUUCUGACGUGCAAAUCGAUCGUCGGAACUGGGUAUAGGGGCGAAAGACUAAUCGAACCAUCUAGUAGCUGGUUCCCUCCGAAGUUUCCCUCAGGAUAGCUGGCGCUCGCUUUGCGAGUCUCAUCCGGUAAAGCGAAUGAUUAGAGGCAUUGGGGUCGAAACGGCCUCAACCUAUUCUCAAACUUUAAAUGGGUGAGAUCUCCGGCUUGCUCGAACUUGAAGCCGCGAGAUUUUACACAAGGAUCAGGGUGCCAAGUGGGCCACUUUUGGUAAGCAGAACUGGCGCUGUGGGAUGAACCAAACGCCGAGUUAAAGCGCCUAAAUCGACGCUUAUGGGAUACCAUGAAAGGCGUU